CGGCAUGCCAGAUGUUUUGGACUACACCCCCCAUGAUGCUUUGCAAGCAUUAAGGGGGAUGUAGUCCACAACAUCUGGAGUUCCG